UUGGUUGUUAAUAUAUUUUACUGGAGUACUACGAAUAGAAUUUAAAACUCAAAGGGCUUGGCGGUGCUUUAGACUUUUCAGGGGAACCUGUCUCGUAAUCGACAUUCCACGAAUUAUCCUUACCUUUAUGCAGUAUGUAUACCGUCGUCGUCAGGUAACUUUUAAAAAUAAAGUAGUUAGCGAGCUUGGACGUCAGAUCAAGGUGCAGCCUAUAGAAAGGAGAGGAUGGGUUACAAUUAAGAAUUAUAAUCACGGAAGUGUAGCUUGGAAGGCGGACUUGAAAGUAAAAGUUAGCAUAUAAAUUCUUUGAAUUAAGCUCUGAGGCG
rnacentral:rRNA from 1 species